GACGAACGCUGGCGGCGUGCUUAACACAUGCAAGUCGAACGGAAAGGCCCUGCUUUUGUGGGGUGCUCGAGUGGCGAACGGGUGAGUAACACGUGAGUAACCUGCCCUUGACUUUGGGAUAACUUCAGGAAACUGGGGCUAAUACCGGAUAGGAGCUCCUGCUGCAUGGUGGGGGUUGGUAAGUUUCGGCGGUUGGGGAUGGACUCGCGGCUUAUCAGCUUGUUGGUGGGGUAGUGGCUUACCAAGGCUUUGACGGGUAGCCGGCCUGAGAGGGUGACCGGCCACAUUGGGACUGAGAUACGGCCCAGACUCCUACGGGAGGCAGCAGUGGGGAAUAUUGCACAAUGGGCGGAAGCCUGAUGCAGCAACGCCGCGUGCGGGAUGACGGCCUUCUGGUUGUAAACCGCUUUCGCCUGUGACGAAGCGUGAGUGACGGUAAUGGGUAAAGAAGCACCGGCUAACUACGUG
rnacentral:rRNA from 1 species